CCAGAUUUGCACAUCAACCAAUUAAAGAAACGAUUGGAGUAACGGUUUUAUGAUCCAUGGAAUUUAAACCAAAUCAAGCCAGGGUAGGUGAAAGGCCACUAAAAAAAAGCAAUAAAUUGGAUAAAAGAAACUUCCAAAAACCAGUCAAGCUUUUGGUGUUGGAGUCUUCACAGUGAAAAAGAAUGCAUUUUUCAACUAGGAGGAGUGAAAACAACAAAAACCCUCAGUAUGGAUUCGACUUCAAACUCGUCACUUAAACUGAGCAGACUGAACCAACAAAUCCCAAAUAUUACAUGAGAGCCGCCAUUCUCAACGAGAUUUUGAGUCGUUCCAUCUGAGGAAUGGAAAGGCAGAUUAAACAAGUUGGAGAUCAUUAACAGUAGCCGUUCACGAGAGAACAGUACAGAUUCGAAGCUUUCUAUGUUCUCGUCCAAGAAUUAAAGACGCGGAAAAUUGCUUCAUCUCCAGCCAGAUAAUGUGACUGCCUAGGACCGCGAGCGUAAAGAGAUAAAUUCUUAUCCCUUAAAUUACACCUCAAUAAAGGGAAAUACGAUUUCCUUCUCCAUCUCGCAUCCAGUGAAUUGAGUGUAGUGGCAUUGAUUGCCGCACAGGUUACUUAAAGGGAAGGAUCGGCCUAGACGAAAUUUACACACCCAAUCCUCCUCCGGAGUCCGGUCCUUUCACACACAGAACAGACUAUUGUGAUUCGAUCGUGCUUUCUCGGAUCAGUACCCGGGGUUUUGAGCUGAAAGCAACUAGUCGUUCCGCUCAGUCGUUCAUUUGGGACACAGAAGAGGACAUCUGGCGGCCAGAUUUAUCUUCAGUUGUUGGGCGCAGGCUAGCUAUCUGUUUAGCCCCUACCUUCUUCUUGGUUCUUUGACU